AACGAACGCUGGCGGCGCGUCUUAAGCAUGCAAGUCGAGCGGCAAGGUAGCAAUACCCUAGAGCGGCGGACUGGUGAGUAACGCGUGGGUGACCUACCUUCAGGUUGGGGAUAGCCAUUAGAAAUAGUGGGUAAUACCGAAUACGGUUACGGGGUUUUGACCCUGUAAAGAAAGGAGCUACGGCUCCGCCUGAAGAUGGGCCCGCGUCCCAUUAGCUAGUUGGGGGUGUAACGGACCACCAAGGCGAUGAUGGGUAGCCGGACUGAGAGGUUGAACGGCCACAUUGGGACUGAGAUACGGCCCAAACUCCUACGGGUGGCUG
rnacentral:rRNA from 1 species